rnacentral:rRNA from 1 species
UACGUAGGGUGCGAGCGUUGUCCGGAAUUACUGGGCGUAAAGAGCUCGUAGGUGGUUUGUCGCGUUGUUCGUGAAAACUCACAACUCAAUUGUGGGCGUGCGGGCGAUACGGGCAGACUGGAGUACUGCAGGGGAGACUGGAAUUCCUGGUGUAGCGGUGGAAUGCGCAGAUAUCAGGAGGAACACCGGUGGCGAAGGCGGCAUCCUGGACCGGCAUUGACGCUGAGGCGCGAAAGCCAGGGGAGCAAACGGG